UACGUAGGCAGCGAGCGUUGUUCGGAAUUACUGGGCGUAAAGGGCUCGUAGGUGGUCAACUAAGUCGGACGUGAAAUCCCUCGGCUUAACCGGGGAACUGCGUCCGAUACUGGAUGACUUGAGUUCGGGAGAGGGAUGCGGAAUUCCAGGUGUAGCGGUGAAAUGCGUAGAUAUCUGGAGGAACACCGGUGGCGAAGGCGGCAUCCUGGACCGACACUGACGCUGAGGAGCGAAAGCCAGGGGAGCAAACGGG
rnacentral:rRNA from 1 species